GAAUAUUGGACAAUGGAGGCAACUCUGAUCCAGCCAUGCCGCGUGCAGGAAGACUGCCCUAUGGGUUGUAAACUGCUUUUAUACGGGAAGAAACAACUCUAAGUGUAGAGUCUUGACGGUACCGUAAGAAUAAGGCACGGCUAACUCCGUGCCAGCAGCCGCGGUAAUACGGAGGAUCCAAGCGUUAUCCGGAAUCAUUGGGUUUAAAGGGUCCGUAGGUGGAUGAUUAAGUCAGAGGUGAAAUCCUGCAGCUCAACUGUAGAAUUGCUUUUGAUACUGGUUAUCUUGAAUCAAUGUGAAGUGGUUAGAGUAUGUAGUGUAGCGGUGAAAUGCAUAGAUAUUACAUAGAAUACCAAUUGCGAAGGCAGAUCACUAACAUUGUAUUGACACUGAUGGACGAAAGCGUGGGGAGCGAACAGG
rnacentral:rRNA from 1 species